rnacentral:rRNA from 1 species
CGUAGGCGGCCUACUAAGUCGGUUGUGAAAUCUCCCGGCUCAACCGGGAGAGGUCGACCGAUACUGGUAGGCUUGAGGGCAGCAGAGGGAGGUGGAAUUCCCGGUGUAGCGGUGAAAUGCGUAGAGAUCGGGAGGAACACCAGUGGCGAAGGCGGCCUCCUGGGCUGUUUCUGACGCUGAGGCGCGAGAGCGUGGGGAGCAAACA